CGUCGGGGUGGGGAGUGCAGCCAGUCACGCAGCCACCACCCGACCCGGCUCAGGCUCUGCCCAGGUGGCAGCGGCUGCCCCACGGAUUUGGGUAGCUGGAGGUGGUCCUGCCCCUUCAAGGCCAGGGCCUGCUGGGGUGUCAGAAUCAUUCCAAGGGAGUGUCCAGGAGGCAGUGGGGAGGAGGGGAGCCACACACACACAAAAAACCCCCGCAACCUUCAGGGUUUGCAGACUGGAUUCUAUUAGGCAGGUUUCCAGACACAGUGAAAACCACUGUGCCUAGUAGGUAACUUCAAAGACCACUAUCAUGGAAAUCAAAGGCUACUGGUUUUAUGCAUGCUAUCUUCUGGAGUGUAUUAACCUGCUGGCUUUAUAUGGGAUGGUAUAUAAUCUUGGUCUGAAGAUACAGCAGUGAAUAAGACAGAUGUGUUCUCUUGCUCCAAUCACAACAGAGAAGCUGGAACCAGGAAGGAGCCUGCAGAGUUCUAAUUAAAACAGCUCCCAUCAAUCAAAUGCUAACUCUGUAUCAGGCCUUCAGUGUUUCACCUGCAUUAAGUCAUACAAUCUGCCCUAAGUAAUAAUAAGUUAGACAUGCCACCCCUGAGGUCUCCUGGCUCCUCUCAACUGCCUCAUUUUCUCUGCCCAAAGGGACAGUGACUUCUCUGCUUGGAAAGAUGGCAUUUCAUAUGUAAUCCAGCCCUCUCCCUUCUUUCUGUUCUGUUUUGGGGAACACAUUUGGGGAUGGCCCUGGGCUAUCAGCAGUGGGCAUUUGCUCAGAGCUCUGCACUUCCAGGUCCUGUGGAGCAUAGGAUCUGGAGGAGGCCUCUUCACAUUUUGUGUUUGCAUAGCUGAGUAUCCUACUAGGAUUUAAAAUUUGGAAGCCGAAUUUUGCAUAGAUAUCAGCUUUCUCCUUAGUCAGUCGGGGACUGUAUGUAUUCCCGUAAGAGAGAAACAUUUUAAAAAAUAAAAGAAGCAAUUGUAUACUAUCAAAAAUGAACCAUCUAAAUACCAUUCAAAUUCUAUCCAGUCGGGAGGACUGAGCCUCACAUUCGCCUGUCACAUAACCUAGGAAACAGUCUUAAGAUAACAUUGACACCACCUUCACGGCUUUUCCUCAAUUCCUACAAUUUGUAAAACUGUGAUGUCCAGCCAUUGGGCUUUUUUGGGGGGAGACAAGUAGUGAAAUGAAAAGCACAUGGAAUUUAUGGGAUUGGAAAACCUAGAUUUGAGUCCAUUCUGCGUAAGUCUUUAAAAUUUUGAACCACUUGUUUGUUUGCUUUUCUUAACACUAUACAGGGCUUAACUAAGUUGGCAAGGCUGUUGAAGGAUUAGUGACUGAUCAAACCACAAGGUCCAGCAGAUAGUUCCAUGGAUAAUGGCAUCUGCUGCCAAGCCUGAUGACCUUAAUUUGAAAUUGUGCCUAAAAGUUGUCUUCUGACCUGCACACAUAUACUUAUGCUCAAAUACACACAACACAUACACACUAAAUGUAAUAAACAACUUGGAUUUUUAAAAGGUUUAAUUGGUUUUGUAUAUGUAUGGGUGUUUUGCCUGUCUGCACACUACAUGUGUACCUGGUGCCUUGAGGUCAAAAUAUGGUAUCUGGUACUGUGGGUUACAGAUGGUUGUGAGCUGUCUUGUAGGUACUGGGAAUCAAACCCAGGUUCUCUGCUAGAGCAGUGUGGUGGUUUGAAUGAGAAUGCCCCCAUGGGCUCAUAUAUUUUAAUGUUUGGGUCCCAGUUUAUGGAACUGUUGGGAUGAAUUAGGAGGUGUGGCCUUGUUGGAGUUGUGUCCCAGUGGAUGAGUUUUGAGAUUUCCAUUUAAUUCUAAC
rnacentral:lncRNA from 1 species